rnacentral:lncRNA from 1 species
ACCCACAAAUCAAUUCCUUAUUCUACUAAACAAGAGAUCUUACUUCCUAAAUUCUUCGUUCUAACCCUCUGUUCCCUUGAUCAGUUUACCUCAGGCCCAAAGAUUUAUUUUAAACGUUGCGAAUCUUUAAAAUCGUAAAAAAAAAAUAUAAAAAUAACUAUAAUGAUAAUCAAAUAUAUAGAAUCAAGAGGCACUAAACAAUCAUUUAAUUAGCUACCAUAAUUCUAGAAAGAGAAGUAUAACUCCAUAUAUUACAUGAAGCAAUUACAACAAAUCAUUCAAAGAAAAAUAUAAAAUUAGAUAAAUAAGG